UACGAAGGGAGCUAGCGUUGUUCGGAAUCACUGGGCGUAAAGCGCACGUAGGCGGAUUUGCCAGUCAGGGGUGAAAUCCCGGGCUCAACCUCGGAACUGCCUUUGAUACAGCAAGUCUUGAGUUCGAGAGAGGUGGGUGGAAUUCCUAGUGUAGAGGUGAAAUUCGUAGAUAUUAGGAAGAACACCGGUGGCGAAGGCGGCCCACUGCUCGACACUGACGCUGAGGUGCGAAAGCGUGGGAGCAACAGG
rnacentral:rRNA from 1 species